GUCUCUGGGCUGAGAAAUAAUUCCUUACAUGCGAUCAAAAUGUUUUAUACAAAGAUAUAAAACGGUAAUCUAUAUGUAAUGGAUCAGCACUGAAAUUUCCAACACGGUUUCCAAGACGUAAUUCAAGAGAUAAUUCAUCAUUGCAUUUGAACUAUUACAUCAGUUGGUGUUAUACUGUGCGAUAAGCGAGUAUUAUUGGAAAGAGGGCUUCUGUAUACGUCGAAAUCAUCAAAUAAACAGCUCAUACACACAUUUCUCCACUUCGCGGUAAGUUUACAGAGCGUAUUUUAUAC
rnacentral:lncRNA from 1 species